GGUUCAGGAUGAACGCUGGCGGCGUGCUUAACACAUGCAAGUCGAGCGAAGCAAUUCAAGGAAGUUUCGGACGGAAUGAAAUGACUGAGCGGCGGACGGGUGAGUAACGCGUGGGUAACCUGCCUCAUACAGGGGGAUAACAGUUGGAAACAACUGCUAAUACCGCAUAAGCACGCAGUGCCGCAUGGUACGGUGUGAAAAACUCCGGUGGUAUGAGAUGGACCCGCGUCUGAUUAGGUAGUUGGUGAGGUAACGGCCCACCAAGCCGACGAUCAGUAGCCGACCUGAGAGGGUGACCGGCCACAUUGGGACUGAGACACGGCCCAAACUCCUACGGGAGGCAGCAGUGGGGAAUAUUGGACAAUGGGGGAAACCCUGAUCCAAGCGACGCCGCGUGAGUGAAGAAGUAUUUCGGUAUGUAAAGCUCUAUCAGCAGGGAAGAAAAUGACGGUACCUGACUAAGAAGCCCCGGCUAACUACGUGCCAGCCGCUGC
rnacentral:rRNA from 1 species